UGGAUUAGUGGCGAACGGGUGAGUAUCACGUGAGUAACCUUCCCUUGACUCUGGGAUAAGCCCGGGAAACUGGGUCUAAUACCGGAUACGACCAGUCCUCGCAUGGGGUGCUGGUGGAAAGAUUUAUCGGUCUUGGAUGGACUCGCGGCCUAUCAGCUUGUUGGUGAGGUAAAGGCUCACCAAGGCGAUGACGGGUAGCCGGCCUGAGAGGGUGACCGGCCACACUGGGACUGAGACACGGCCCAGACUCCUACGGGAGGCAGCAGUGGGGAAUAUUGCACAAUGGGCGAAAGCCUGAUGCAGCGACGCCGCGUGCGGGAUGACGGCCUUCGGGUUGUAAACCGCUUUCAGCAGGGAAGAAGCGAAAGUGACGGUACCUGCAGAAGAAGCGCCGGCUAACUACGUGCCAGCAGCCGCGGUAAUACGUAGGGCGCGAGCGUUAUCCGGAAUUAUUGGGCGUAAAGAGCUCGUAGGCGGUUUGUCACGUCUGCUGUGAAAGCCCGGGGCUCAACCCCGGGUGUGCAGUGGGUACGGGCAGACUAGAGUGCAGUAGGGGAGACUGGAAUUCCUGGUGUAGCGGUGAAAUGCGCAGAUAUCAGGAGGAACACCGAUGGCGAAGGCAGGUCUCUGGGCUGUUACUGACGCUGAGGAGCGAAAGCAUGGGGAGCGAACAGGAUUAGAUACCCUGGUAGUCCAUGCCGUAAACGUUGG
rnacentral:rRNA from 1 species